rnacentral:lncRNA from 1 species
UUUUAAUUUGCAAGAUAGAAUUGCAUUCAUGCAUUUCAAAAUUCAUCUAAGAUUUGGUUUCAUCUUUGCAGUACCCCGUAAAACUGGUCUCUAUGAGAUCUAACAGCAAGAUUCAUAGUUGAGAAAUAAAUUUGAAGAGACACAGAAGGGCAGAGACACUAAAAGCUGCUGGAAUGAAUACAAUUCUGAGGAAGACAACACACCUCUGAUCAGUUUUGAUUUCUUUUUCUCCUUACCCCGUUCUCUUCCUCCUUCCCCAAAUGCCUUUCCUCAUCCCUAACAUGUCCAAACCCCCAUUUCCUAUCAUCUUUCCUUGAUUUUGCCUGUGUGUUUGUCAUAAGUUACUUUUAUCACUUUAAGGUAAGGUCUUUAUAUACAUAUUUAUUUUGUCAGCUUUUUAAAAAUCCCAAAUAGGUGUUGGAUUUUCUCAAAAGUUUUUUCCCCCACAUCUAUUGAGGUGAUCAUGUGAUUUUCAACCUUACAUUAAUUUAUGUAAUGUAUUGUAUUUAUCUUUUUAUGUAUAUUGUACCAUUCUUGCAUACUUGGGAUGAGGCCGACUUGGUCAGGAUGUUUGACCUUUUGAAUGAUUUGUUGUAGCCUGUCGAGGAUUUGUGUAUCCAGGUCCAUUAAAGACAUUGACCUGUCGUUUUCUUUUUUUGUUGAGUCCUUUUCUGAUUUUGGUGUGAGGGUAAUUUGGCUUUGACGAAUGAGUUUGGCAGUAUUCCUUCCCUUUCAAUUUCAUGGCAGAGUUUGAGAAAUAUUAGGUUAAUUUAUUCUUUGAAUUUCUGGUAAAAUUCAAUAGUGAAACAUUUGGGUCCUGGGGUUUUCUUGGUAAAGUUUAUAUGGCUGCCUCAAUUUAAUUGCCAUUUUUUUUUCUCAAGAUUCAUGCAUUUUUGUGUUGACUGUUGUAGAUCAGUUGGUUUAGAAAGCCCUGUCACUACAGUAGAGAUAUUUUUAUCAAAUGAACUUCUUGUUAUGUGCUUUGGGUGUGAUUCACUUCACAUCUGUUGAACUUUUUCAAAUUACAAGGAUUGGUUCCUGGCACUGAAUUGCAAGGAGAGAACAACCACUGGUAAUAUCAAUAACCAAAGAACAAAUCAUUUAUUAUUAUUCAAUUCAAAGCUUGUUUGGCAAGUUUUCUACUCUUUCAAUAAUCCAGGAAUACAAAGGAUAAGUAAUGGUAGAAAAAGUGCUGGAAGGUAAAAAAAAGAUAAAAGAAAAAAAAAGAAUUUAGAAAUAAAUGACAGAAGAAAAAUGGACAAAACAG